GAUAAGAAUACGAAAUACAUCAUCUAUCUUAUAUUUAUAGCAUUUCUUUGACUUUAGAGGAUGCAAAUGCAACUUUUUUCCUGUAAUGUUGGUUAGCUUUUAGUUAUCUCAUUUCCUGAGGUGGAUGUGGGAAAUGAUUAAAAAGGAUGAUAGGAGUUAUGGACUUAUGGUUGUGAUGACAUUCCUAUAAGUCUGAUAUUUUUGCUCAUAGAUAACUUUUAAUGAUUACCGAUCACGAUUUCUUUGCAGCUUUGAGUUAUGUGCUUGUUCCAAUGUCACAAUUCUCAAAAAAUGAUGUUGUCACUUUAAUUGGAUUUCUUUGCAGUUUUGAUGUAUGUGCUUGAUCCGGUUGAUUUUGUGUUGAUUUUUUCUUUUGAUUUUGUUGAGAUUAUUAGUGUGGAUUUUGGUUAGGGCCGUCGAGGAGUUCAAGGAAGGGCAUGUGGCGAUGGAGAGGAUAGAGAGGAUUGUUAAUGUUUUGUAUUUGUUAAUUUCUCCUAAUGGUGAACUGUUUUUAAUAAUUGAUUCGAUUUUUGUUAUUUUUUUAUUUAUGGAAAUGUGGGUUUUGUUUCAUUCAUUUGGUUUGUUUCAAAAUAUUUGUGUCAGAAAAGUGGAUGAAGAUCUUAUCAAAGAAUUGAAAUUGUAAAUAAAAGGAGCUGAGAAGCCAUCUAUAUGGGAACUGCUAGGCGUUUGCGUUGUGGUGGAGCAAAAUCAAAGAUUGAUACGAGAAACUCAUACUCACAGCUUGAAUUGGAUGAAGUACGAGUGGAGUGGGCUGAAUUUUUAGCUCGGUACAUAUGAUAGACAUACCUAGAUAUGAUUUUCUUAAUUUUGUAAAUGUGAGCAUGCCCAUAACUUUUUUUUGUGUAAAUGUUUUGUUCAUAGCCAUUAUAUUACAUGAGGCAAUAGAUGCAAGGGGAUAGAAUUUAGUUUUGGUAUACAACACAUGUUUUUUGUUAUAUAAGAUAGCUAUUAUUAUUGUUGA